rnacentral:rRNA from 1 species
GACGAACGCUGACGGCGUGCUUAACACAUGCAAGUCGAACGGUAAGGCCCUUCGGGGUACACGAGUGGCGAACGGGUGAGUAACACGUGGGUGAUCUACCCUGCACUUCGGGAUAAGACUGGGAAACUGGGUCUAAUACCGGAUAGGACCACUGCCUGCAUGGGUGGUGGUGGAAAGCUUUUGCGGUGUGGGAUGGGCCGGCGGCCUAUCAGCUUGUUGGUGGGGUGAUGGCCUACCAAGGCGACGACGGGUAGCGGGCCUGAGAGGGUGACCGGCCACACUGGGACUGAGAUACGGCCCAGACUCCUACGGGAGGCAGCAGUGGGGAAUAUUGCACAAUGGGCGCAAGCCUGAUGCAGCGACGCCGCGUGAGGGAUGACGGCCUUCGGGUUGUAAACCUCUUUCAGCACCGACGAAGCGCAAGUGACGGUAGGUGCAGAAGAAGGACCGGCCAACUACGUGCCAGCCGCCGCCGUAA